rnacentral:rRNA from 1 species
AACGAACGCUGGCGGCAGGCUUAACACAUGCAAGUCGAACGCCCCGCAAGGGGAGUGGCAGACGGGUGAGUAACGCGUGGGAAUCUACCCAGAUCUACGGAACAACAGAGGGAAACUUCUGCUAAUACCGUAUACGCCCUACGGGGGACAGAUUUAUCGGAUUUGGAGGAGACCGCGUAAGAUUAGCUAGUUGGUGGGGUAAUGGCCUACCAAGGCGACGAUCGUUAGCUGGUCUGAGAGGAUGAUCAGGCACACUGGGACUGAGACACGGCCCAGACUCCUAGGGGAGGCAGCAGUGGGGAAUAUGGGACAAUGGGCGCAAGCCUGAUCCAGCCAUGCCGCGUGAGUGAUGAAGGCCUUAGGGUUGUAAAGCUCUUUCACCGAUGAAGAUAAUGACGGUAGUCGGAGAAGAAGCCCCGGCUAACUUCGUGCCAGCCGCCGCAGUAA